UUUAAAUGUAACUGUUUUCGUAUCCAACUUUGAUCAUUCGUCUUAUUUGAAAAUUUUUUAUAAUUAGUACUUUUGUUGUUAUGAAAUGAUAAAAUAUGAACGGUACUUUGCUUUUGACUAUAUUUUUAAAUUUUUUUAAAUAAAACGUAGGAUUAAAGUUGGACGUGGAAAAAUACAACUGUACUUAAA
rfam:Oryza meridionalis cultivar OR44 (W2112) chromosome 9, whole genome shotgun sequence.